UGUAAUCCCAGCUACUCAGGAAGGCUGAGGCAAGAGAAUCGCUUGAACCCGGGAGGCGGAGGUUGCGGUGAGCCUAGAUCGUGCCAUUGCACUCCAGCCUGGGCAACAAGAGCGAAACUCAGUCUCAAAAGAAAGGGAGAAAGGGAGAAAGAGAGAGAGGAAGGGAGGAAGGAAGGAAGGAAGAAAAGAGAAAGAAAGAGUCCCUGAGGAGCAAGCAAUUCCCUCAGCCAAAGAGCUUUUGCUCUCAAGUCUCGUUUGGUCAUGCUAAGCCACAGUUUGGGGACUCCUAGGAGCAGCCAUCACAGGUAACCAGUUCUGCUGGCUCAGGAUGGCCCCUGCUGCCCUGACUCAGAGACACUUCCUGCAAGGCAGACAUCUCAUGCAGAGCAGAGGCCACUGCAGUCAGAAGGAAGGGCCUGGUAGCCUCAGAGGCACAGCCAAGGGGCUGCAACGAUGGAAAGGAGAUAUUCCACAAGUCCAAGAGUGUGACAUGGAAGCACACUCUGGGAUGUGGUGGACUCAAGUGAUCCAUGCAGAUGUGGAUGCUGUCUCUCUUUCUCUGUUCAUAGAGUGUGGCAUGGGUCCUCUCUGGGUGAAAAUAGGUGCCCAGAAUUAAUCACACACUUCCAUUCAAAAUAAACUGUGCCAACUUGCUGAACCACAAAAUGAUUUCCUCGCCAUGGCCCCUAAAUAACUCCGUG
rnacentral:lncRNA from 1 species